CAAGACCUACGCUUUUGGAGCGGCCGAUGUCUGAUUAGCUUGUUGGUGAGGUAAAGGCUUACCAAGGCUUCGAUCAGUAGCUGGUCUGAGAGGACGACCAGCCACACUGGGACUGAGGCACGGCCCAGACUCCUACGGGAGGCAGCAGUGGGGAAUUUUGGACAAUGGGGGAAACCCUGAUCCAGCCAUGCCGCGUGAGUGAAGAAGGCCUUCGGGUUGUAAAGCUCUUUCAGCCGGGAAGAAAAGGUUGCGAUUAAUAAUCGCAAUUUAUGACGGUACCGGAAGAAGAAGCACCGGCUAACUACGUGCCAGCAGCCGCGGUAAUACGUAGGGUGCGAGCGUUAAUCGGAAUUACUGGGCGUAAAGCGUGCGCAGGUGGUUUUGUAAGUCAGAUGUGAAAGCCCCGGGCUCAACCUGGGAACU
rnacentral:rRNA from 1 species